CACAGGACUAUGCCAGUCACUCACUGAAGGUUUGAUGAUGCCUAAACCUUUCAUCUGUUCCAGUUCCUCUCUGAAAACCUCUUGUAAGUGUGCAGGGAUCCUACAAUAUGAUGUUCUCACAGGACCUGGGGAGAUGUUCCAAUGAUGGUCCUACUUGGACCUCUCUGCAUGAUGGCAAGUACUGCUCCUCUGAUUCCUCUUCCUCCGGAACGCUACGAAUUAAUAGCUGACUGGAAGGGGUUUCCUUUAGCACAGAAAGGGGUCCUCGAACAGGACGACCAUACAACAGCUCAAACGGAGAGAAUCCUGUGGAUGCCUGCGGAACCUCCCGGUAAGCAAACAACAGGUAUGAUAGCCAUUGGUCCCAAUCUGAUCCAGUCAUGCUAACAAAUUUCCUCAGCAUCUGUUUUAAGGUGGCAUUAAAUCGCUCCACUAGCCCAUGCAUCUGCGGGUGAUAGGAAUUCGGGGGGUUAAUGACCACACCCUAACAAACUAUUCACCUGUCUUAUCAAUUUUGCUGUUAGAUUGGAUCCCUGGUCAGUUAACAUUUCUCUUGGGAUCCCCACUCUGGCAAAUAGCUGUAUUAAAGCUCUCAUGAUGUUACUUGCAUUUUUCUUUUUCAG